GACGAACGCUGGCGGCGUGCUUAACACAUGCAAGUCGAACGGACAGGCCCUGCUUUUGUGGGGUUCUCGAGUGGCGAACGGGUGAGUAACACGCGAGUAACCUGUCCUUGACUUUGGGAUAACUUUAGGAGAAUGGGGCUAAAACCGGAUAGGAGCUUUUGCUGCAUGGUGGGGGUUGGAAAGUUUCGGCUGUGCUGGAUGGAAUCGCAGCUUAUGCGCUGGAUGGUGAGGUAGUGGAUUACCAAGGCUUCGACGGGUAGCCGGCCUGGGAGCGUGACCGGGCUCAUUGGGACUGAGGUACGACCCAGUCUCCUACGGGAGGCAGCAGGGGAAAGUAUUGCGCAAUAGGCGGAAGCCUGAUGCAGCAGCGCCCGGUGCGUGAUAACGGGCUACUGGGGAUAAACCGCUUUCGCCUGUAACGAGGCGUUAGUGACGGUAAUUAAUAAGAAAGCACCGGCUAACUACGUG
rnacentral:rRNA from 1 species